GUUCUCUAACGGUCUUGUUAUGUGCCGUGAGUUUCUCCUUGUGUUACCAGUUAAAAGUUUGGUGCGACGACUAGGCGUAAACAAACUUCAAGUGUGCCGGGUCUGAAGUUUCCUUUGGAUCCUUUGCCCUAUUGUAAUAGGUUUCUUAGUUUUUAGACUUUGAACAUGCUUGAUGGCUGAAAUUGUAGUUGGGAUCAUUAUAUGUACG
rnacentral:misc_RNA from 1 species